rnacentral:rRNA from 1 species
UACAGAGGGGGCAAGCGUUAUUCGGAAUUAUUGAACGUAAAAAGCGCGUAGGCGGCCUGACAAGUGGAAGGUGAAAUCCCUCGGCUCAACUGAGGAACUACCCUCCAAACUGUGUGGCUUGAGACCGGGAGAGGUGAGUGGAAUUCCCAGUGUAGCGGUGAAAUGCAUAGAUAUUGGGAGGAACACCAGUGGCGAAGGCGGCUCACUGGACCGGAACUGACGCUGAGACGCGAAAGCGUGGGGAACAAACGGG